UACGUAGGGGGCAAGCGUUGUCCGGAUUCAUUGGGCGUAAAGAGCGUGUAGGCGGCCAGGUAGGUCGGUUGUGAAAACUGGAGGCUCAACCUUCAGAGGUCGACCGAAACCAUCUGGCUAGAGUCCGGGAGAGGAGAGUGGAAUUCCUGGUGUAGCGGUGAAAUGCGCAGAUAUCAGGAAGAACACCCGUGGCGAAGGCGGGUCUCUGGACAGUUCCUGACGCUGAGGCACGAAGGCCAGGGGAGCAAACGGG
rnacentral:rRNA from 1 species